UCCUACGGGAGCCUGCAGUAGGGAAUAUUGGGCAAUGGAGGCAACUCUGACCCAGCCAUGCCGCGUGCAGGACGAAGGCGUUAUGCGUUGUAAACUGCUUUUAUAUAGGAAGAAAUAGANUUUGCGAGGACAGUUGACGGUACUAUAUGCAUAAGCACCGGCUGACUCCGUGCCAGCAGCCGCGGUGAUACGGAGGGUGCAAGCGUUGUCCGGAUUUAUUGGGUUUAAAGGGUGCGUAGGCGGUUUAUUAAGUCAGUGGUGAAAGACGGUCGCUCAACGAUUGCAGUGCCAUUGAUACUGGUAGACUUGAGUGAGAUUGAGGUAGCUGGAAUGGAUAGUGUAGCGGUGAAAUGCAUAGAUAUUAUCCAGAACACCAAUUGCGUAGGCAAGUUACUAAGUCUCAACUGACGCUGAGGCACGAAAGUGUGGGUAUCAAACAGGAUUAGAUACCCUGGUAGUCCACACUGUAAACGAUGAUGACUAAACUGUUGGCUUUCGGGUCAGUGGUACAGNAGAAAUCGUUAAGUUAUCCACC
rnacentral:rRNA from 1 species